CUUAAUCUCAAAUAAAGGCAAAGUAUCUUUUUCUUGAAAAAAGAAAAAGAUAUAGCGGAUAGCGGGACUAAAG
rnacentral:sRNA from 1 species